CAGCCAGGUGAGGCCCAACUAUCAAUUGACACAAGUUUAUACCGAAAUGGGCAGCGGACGGUGCAGAACGCGGUUUUCACGCACGACAUCACACUGCUGUGCACUUCAGUAAUACGAAUUUAUCGAAUUUAUCGCGAUUUUCUUAAACUCUGCCACAAGGUUUUCCAAUUUGUUCCGGCUGGUGACGGUGGUUUCAGUGAACACGGGAAAGGUGUCUUUGGAAAAAUUUUACGAAAAUUUAUGAAUAAUAUUGUGGAAAAAACAUCUGAAACUCGGUGUUUACCCAAGGCUCAGAUUCUAUGGAUAUAGAGCAAACACACAUAAUUUAUUAUAAUUUAUGCGAAUUAGUGAGAGCCACGUUCGAAUAUUGCAAUAAUUCAUGUCGCGUUUUGGAUUAAUGUGCGGCGGCAAACCCAUUGAAAUUUGGAAUUAGAAGUGAGCAAAGUCGAUACUUGCAUUCUUGAGAACCGUGUGGUGUAGUACGACCCAAUGUGUUCAAGAUAUGUGCGGAUAAGAAUUGUCCAAGUGUCCGGCCUAAGGUUCGCCUGGUGAUAAUUCAUAGUUUGUGCCUACUCCAAAGUGCCAGAUAGUGACGAAGAAAUUCCACAAGAAUAUAUUAAUUUUCAUAAAUUUUAGUGAAUUGCAACAAGUGCUAGUGGACUGUGAAAAAAUGCUCGAUUGCUGCAGUUAGGGCGUACUAUCGUCUGUCAGCCGGAUAUGAUUACGACACCACAUGGUGACAAUAUUAAUUUCGAGCUCGUAUGCAAUUUGGAAUAAUCAAAAGAAUGACUUCCAUACGGCAAAUACUUUGGAUAGGCCUUCUUCUGAUAGUUACCAUUCUAUCAGAAGUUGAUGCCAUGGAUCCAAAAUUCGAUCCGUCGACACGAAUGCGUCUAGUCCUGAUUCCAGCUGAUGCCACAGUUGGGUCUGUUAUUUACAGGCUUCGUGCAACUGAUGAGGAAUUCGACUAUCCAUUAACAUUCGAAUUAACCGGGAACGUGUCGUCACCUACGGUACAAAUUGAAUCACUUCCAUGUACAAAAUAUAAUUCAGUCUGCCAAGCAAAUGUAAUACUUCUAAGGAGAUUGGAGCCAGGACGAUAUUAUGAUUUUCAGGUCUCCGUCAAGGACACAAAAGGUGGAAUGGCCACACAGCUGUGUUCAAUAACUGCAACCAAUUUCACAACGCCUCACGACACUAUUUUCCCACACAAGCCAGGAAUUAUACUGAUCCCAGAGGAUGCAAAACGUGGAACCGAAUUGGAUUACGUGAUAGCCCGUAAAAACCCACUUUUUUCUAAGCCUGUCUAUUUGGAGCUAUGGGGUUCGCCGCUGUUUGCGAUCCGCCAAAAAAUUGUUUCGCCGGAUACGACGGAGGGUACUAUUUUUCUUCUAGGACCACUUGACUUUGAGAAGCAAGCAAUGUACCACUUGACUGUUCUGGCGAAUGAUGCUUACGCGGAGCCCGGUCAAGACACGCGAAAUAUUGCGGGGCUGGAAGUCGUUGUCAUCGUACAAGAUGUCCAGGACGUGGCUCCCGUGUUUCGGGUGGCACCGCCAGUUACGAAACUUCCACCGGGACUGAUACCCGGCGAUAAGGUACUUCAAGUUCAUGCUGAAGACGGCGAUAAAGGUAAUCCGCGAGAGAUUAGAUACGGCCUCGUCUCCGAAGGAAAUCCAUUUACUUCGUUCUUCAACAUCAACGAUACUACCGGUGAAAUAUUUUUAGUACGACCUUUGGAUGAGAUAGCAGCCAUCACUCACAUCGGAGAUCCCGUCUUAUUAACAGUAAUUGCAGAGGAGGUUAAGGUUGGUCGUGACGAACCACCGGCCAUGGAUACAACUGUCGAAUUGGCAUUUUUCUUGCCGGAACGCAGUAAUUCACCGCCAUACUUCGAAAAUGAUCAUUACGUUUCUCGCAUCGAUGAAAACGCUCCACAAGGAACAGCACUCACAUUCAACGACCCAUACGUUCCUCGAGUCUACGACGACGACACAGGUAAAAAUGGAGUAUUCUCGUUGACUCUUCUAAACAACAAUGGGACUUUCGAAAUAUCACCAAAUGUCGCGGAGAGAAGUGCCUCCUUUCUAAUCCGUGUACGUGACAAUGAAUUUCUCGACUACGAGGAAAGGAAAUCUGUUGAAUUCCAGAUAUUAGCGCAAGAACUUGGACCAGCAACGAACCUCUCGGCAAUGGUUAAUGUCACCGUUUUUAUAAACGAUGUAAAUGAUAAUCCUCCGGUGUUCAGUGAAUCUAUGUACACAGUAGAAUUACCAGAAAAUAUGACGGCCGGAACGAAAGUCGUUCAGGUUCACGCUGAAGACGUUGACACUGGUAUGGGUGGUCACGUUCGUUACACACAAAUAUUAGGUUACUUGAACACCUCCCUCAACCUGGAUGCCGCGACAGGGUUAGUCACAGUAUCUACUGACAAUCAUGGAUUCGAUCGUGAAGUCAUGCCCGAGUACCACCUCUACAUCGAAGCUCGUGACAACGAGGGAACUGGAAACCGGGCCCAAGUGCCAUUAAUCAUUAAAAUGAUUGAUGUUAACGAUGAGACGCCUAUUUUCGAGAAACCCGUCUAUGAAUUUAUCCUGUCGCCAGACCUGAGAAACUUCACGACACCGGCAUUCAUCAAAGCCAUUGAUAAUGACGCCACACCCCCCAAUAACGAAGUUCGCUACGAAAUAAUUAAUGGAAAUUAUGAGAAUAAAUUCGAUUUAAAUAAGAUGACAGGCGAAAUAACCGUGCGAGAUUUGAUUGUUCUUCAAAGGAGGAACAAACGGAAGAGGAGACAGAUAAACAGUAGCAAUAAGAACGAAGAUAGUGAGGUAUUCGUGCUUACGGCUCGUGCCUAUGACUUGGGCGUCCCAGUAAGAUUCUCAACGACUACUAUAAGAAUUUAUCCACCCGAAAGUCGAGCAAGGACUGUAACAUUUAUAGUGCCAGGAUCCAAUCCGGAUAGAAAGAAGACUGAAGAAACCUUGUCCACUAUUACUGGCGGACACGUCACUAUACAAGAUAUUAGGCCGCUAGUCGGCGAUGAGCCUGGUGCUAAGAAUCUGGGCGGUGAUGCUAAGGAAAGAAGUGUCGUAACAGCAACGGUGCUUUACGAUGGUAAUUCAUUUGUAGAUAUUUCUCAAAUCCAACAACGGUUAUCACAACAUAAUAGUUCGUAUACGAUAAUGACAAGGGAGGAACAAAGUGAGACAAUCUACAGAGCUGAAAACCGACUGUUAUUUUGGCUCCUCAUUUUAUUAGCUGUUCUUAUAGCAGUAACCAUCUUAAUUUUGCUUUUGUGCUGCAUAUGCUCAUGGUGUCCGCUCUACAGUGCUGCAAGGUCGCGGAAUGGAUGGGAAGACGGGAAGCGUGGUCAGCGGAGAAGACAUCAGACCCCAGAACGAAACCGACCCGGUGGGAAUUCAGUCGCCGUGUCAACUAUAACGAAAAACUAGCUGAUGACGGUGGCGAUCAUAUUGAUAGUAUAGAAAGCGACCGUCGAGCCCGAUCCGCUGAUGAUCGCAAAAUUAGGAUUAAAAAUCAUUUAAAAGAUAUGAAUGCAGCCAAAGAAACUCAUUUCCAUAAUUCUAGAACAAACUUGAUCAAUGAUCGUGAUGCGUACAUUGAGGAUGUGGUCGAUGAACACAACGAGUCACAUAUCUAUCGCAAUCAGUAUAAA
rnacentral:misc_RNA from 1 species